GGCUCAGAACGAACGCUGGCGGCGCGUUUUAAGCAUGCAAGUCGAGCGGCAAGGGCCUUCGGGCCCCUAGAGCGGCGGACGGGUGAGUAACACGUGGACAAUCUGCCCCCGGCCCGGGAUAGCCCAGGGAAACCUGGAUUAAUACCGGAUGAGACGGGACCCGCGAUGGCGGGAUCCGGGAAAGGCGCUGCGGCGCCGCCGGGGGAUGAGUCUGCGUCCCAUUAGCUAGACGGCGGGGUAACGGCCCACCGUGGCGACGAUGGGUAGCCGGCCUGAGAGGGUGGACGGCCACAUUGGAACUGAGACACGGCCCAAACUCCUACGGGAGGCAGCAGUAGGGAAUCUUCCGCAAUGGACGAAAGUCUGACGGAGCAACGCCGCGUGAGUGAAGAAAAGGUUUUCGGAUCGUAAAACUCUGUUGUCAGAGAAGAACAAGUUGGAGAGUAACUGCUCCAGCCUUGACGGUAUCUGACCAGAAAGCCACGGCUAACUACGUGCCAGCCGCCGC
rnacentral:rRNA from 1 species